GGUCAGUCGGGGCAGCCCCGAGCGCCAGGUGGCGCCGCAGCAUGCCCACCAUGCUGGAGCAUAGUUUGCCAUUUGAACCUCCCUCCCCACGGUUAGGAGUGCUCCUCCUCCAUGUCGGUUACGCUGUUAAGUCUUAGUCGUAACUUAAUUUAGACAUACAUGCUUAGUGACGUACUUAAGUGUUUCAUAGUAAAGUACAGUGAUGUUAAGUAAGCUGUUUUUCCUUUUCUCUCUGUGAAUUGUGUGUGAUUAACGAUAUCUCUUUAGAUUUCUCUUCUCCAGGUGCUAAAUUAUAUCACACAGGUACAGGCCAGUCCCGCAGUCAGAGGAGGGAGCGGCUUUGCUCCAGUGGGGUGUAAACGAAGUUUCAGGUGUUUCUGUCCCGCUUCCUCAGUGGUGAUGUCGCCUCUUGACAGCCGCAUUCCUAGACAGCGCUCAGGGCGCCUCCCCCAGGACCCAGCGCCUCUUGCACUGUGCCCGGACCAGGCGAGCCCUGUGGUUUCAGACACUCCUGCAGUUUGCGAAAAUGUCUACUUCUAAAUACGUUGUUUCAUCACCGAUGCUGUGUUCCAAUACUGCCUCUGAUCUUGGGAAACUUGAGCGCGCGGGAAUCUGAGGGUUGCUUCUAGAUCCUCCCGGUCCCCCUCCGGCUGCCCAGAGCUGGCGCCCCUUCUCCUCGCGUCCUGUCCUGUCCCGUGUGGACGGGACGUGGCGAGUGUCGCUGAGUCCACACUGGUGUACAGAGCACUUCGGGGCCAGCACGUGGCCACAUGUCCUUAGCUGUUGGGCUUUGAAAGUGUCCCUUGGGUGUCAGGCGAGUGGAGGGCCGGAGAGACGCUGCGGCGCUGCUUAGCGGGUCCUCCCAGAGAGUGUGUCCCCUUCCCUUGGCCUUUCUGCAUCUUCUGAGACGGGUCUGUGUCCCCCUCCCCGCCACCUCCUCCCUCUUCCUCUCCACUGACUGAAGGUCAUGGCCAUGUCCCUGUCAGGGACCCCGCCUGUGUCUCGGGCACACAGUGUCUGUGCGGGUCCCUGCUUGGCCCUCCCACGUCUACCCUCGGCCCGCCCGCUCCAGCCGCUGCCUCGUUCGCCUCUCAGUCCCCUCAGGUCUUCUCCAUCCUGCGCUCCUCUCGCUGUGUGCCUUGCCUUCCUGGUCCCUCCUCCUCUUCCUCCUCCUCUUCCCCCUCCCCCUCCUCCUCCCCCUCCCCCUCCCCCCUCCCCCUCCGUCUGGUUGCAGACACUGCGUGCACAGUCACGCUCAGGUGCACACGUGUGCUCAGGACGGUGGGAGGCUCCUGAACCACAGUGACCUUUGUCCCCUCACAGUCUGAGCUGCCCUUUCUGCCCCGUUUCCAUCUUUCCCCGCCCCCAGUUUUGCUUGUCCUGUUUCUGCCUGGUCCCAGCUACAGCAGCCCUGGCCCCUGUCUCUUCAGCUUGAGAGGCCCCACAGUAGGCUGCUCCUUCCGGGGGCCGUUGCCUGUUCCCACCCCCCACGGCCCUUCUCUGCCGCGCUCGUUCACGCCUCACGCCCGUGCUGCGCUGUCCCCUGCUGUGUGGUGCCUUGUCACGCACCCUGUGCCUCUGGCGCGGGCAGCCCAUCUUCAGCCCGGUCUCAGCUCUUCCCAUGUCCAUCUUUGUUCUGUGAGGUCUUGGGCAGCUGUCUGCCGGGCACUUCCAUCUGGGGAGGGGCUGGUGCCGCCUGGGCCCCGCCUCGGGAGGACGGUGUGCUUUGCGGUGUCACGCUCCACCUAGCCGGGGAGGCCUGGAGAGCCCGGCGCACUCCUGCGCCUAGAGGAGGAGACCCGCCCCGUUAGCCGGGGGCCGCGCCCACCCCAGACCCACUAAACUUCGUUUAUACUGCCACUCUUGUGUUUGGGAAAUGCUAAAUUUUUUUUGCCUUUAAAAUUUUCUGUUUUGAUCCCAUGGUGCAUCUCGCUCUUGCUGCUGGCAGCAGAGUCUGACCUGCUGGAACCCGUUGUGGCCUGUAUCUUUGUGCAUUGUUUCUCUACCUGUAUAGAACAUGCAUAGAUGUCUACGAUAUGACCUCUUCU
rnacentral:lncRNA from 1 species